CUUGGAGACUCUGAAUCUACACCAUUGUUGGAUGUUUCAUGAUACCAUGUUUCCAUACUUGUUGGAGAAAAUAUGUUUUCCAUUUGACCAAGAAACUGCCCUGAAGAUAUUUUCUUCUGUAGGCCACCAUGGGCCCCUUCAGGGGAAUAGGGUUAAACAAGAUGUUCCAGUGGACGGUGGCAAAAUCCUCCAAGCCCAAACUGGGCCCGGCUAUUAGAUCACACAGAUUUCGUCCAACAACAGACUUCCUCAGGGGCAUGGGUCUA